UACGUAGGGUCCGAGCGUUGUCCGGAGUUACUGGGCGUAAAGGGCGCGCAGGCGGCGGUGCUGGCCCGGCGUGAAAGCCCCCGGCUCAACCGGGGAGGGUCGUCGGGGACCGCACCGCUUGAGGGCGGUAGGGGCCGGUGGAAUGCCUGGUGUAGUGGUGAAAUGCGUAGAGAUCAGGCAGAACACCUGGGGCGAAGGCGGCCGGCUGGGCCGUCCCUGACGCUGAGGCGCGAAGGCGUGGGGAGCGAACAGG
rnacentral:rRNA from 1 species